AUUCAACGCUGGCGGCAGGCCUAACACAUGCAAGUCGAACGGUAACAGGAAGCAGCUUGCUGCUUUGCUGACGAGUGGCGGACGGGUGAGUAAUGUCUGGGAAACUGCCCGAUGGAGGGGGAUAACUACUGGAAACGGUAGCUAAUACCGCAUAACGUCGCAAGACCAAAGAGGGGGACCUUAGGGCCUCUUGCCAUCGGAUGUGCCCAGAUGGGAUUAGCUAGUAGGUGGGGUAACGGCUCACCUAGGCGACGAUCCCUAGCUGGUCUGAGAGGAUGACCAGCCACACUGGAACUGAGACACGGUCCAGACUCCUACGGGAGGCAGCAGUGGGGAAUAUUGCACAAUGGGCGCAAGCCUGAUGCAGCCAUGCCGCGUGUAUGAAGAAGGCCUUCGGGUUGUAAAGUACUUUCAGCGGGGAGGAAGGGAGUAAAGUUAAUACCUUUGCUCAUUGACGUUACCCGCAGAAGAAGCACCGGCUAACUCCGUG
rnacentral:rRNA from 1 species